UGAGGGUAUCUUUUUUCGGGGGUGUUCUAAAGCAGUGCUGCCUAAAAAAUUCAGGCAGUAUUUUCGCCACGCAGGGAGUCCACGCCGCGUUACAGGCCGCCACACACAAACCGAUAGCUCGUCAGGAGACAGCAGAGCGGACAGGAGAGCAGAAAUCUCCAUCACAUCUGGACGCGGCGGCUACGUAGACGCUGUACUGGACACGAAACCUCGCCUACCAGCUGAGGAUCCAUGUGAAUAUUCAUAUGGCAGCUGAGUGCUGCUCAUGUAGCUUCAGAUUCAGAAUGAAACAGAAGCGUUCACACGGCUGAGAGAUGAUGGGCUGCUUUGAUUUGCAGCUGGGUCGGUGCUGUAUUUGAUAUUUGAAGAAAAAGAGGAAAGAAGAGUUUUGCAUGCUUGAUACGAUUUGCAAGGAUAAGUGUCUGAAGACCAGCAGCAUCCAGACAUCUACAACACUCUUGUAAUUAUCUGAUCUGGAAUCAGACCUGAACAAGUGCACCGGGCAGAUCAGAGCGAUUGGAGAGACUGUAACAGAGAGAACUCCAUAGGCCACCCACACUAGGAACUGCUCGUCCAGCCCGGAAUGUCCAGAGAGCCUCACUUUCUGGCAGACAGCCCGAGUGUGGACCUGUUGCAGACGGAGACCGGUUUAUUGCCUGCUGUGCCAGCAGUGAGGCACACACUCGGUUCCCGUGAGCUGACCGCCAUCACACACACCGCACUGCAGUAACCUGCGUGCAGCUGUCACUCGGGUCACUGCAGCGACCGCCGGCCAGCAGGAAAGGACAGCCAUGCCUCUGAGUCUGGGCAAGUCUGGACUGGAAUUGCACUGAUGCAAGGAGAGAGGGGAGGGUAGUGGAAAAGAGAGAAAGGGAAAGUCCAGGAUGACUUUUCAGUACAAGUCUGCAGGAAAACUCCACCCUUUUCCUCCAAAGACUGCUGGCCUUUACCCCAACACGGCGGCUCACUAGAAUAAGAGCGAGCAGGAUUACUCUGCCGAGGAGUGCGCACUCACAUGCUUGGAGAGAAUUCUGCACGAAACAUGUGGAUGACAGCCUUUGCUCGGCCGGCACUGAAAUGUCAAAAACGCUGAGGGGUAUUUCCUACAGCCGUCGCUGCAGGGAAAAUCAGACAGCUAACACUCGCACCCACGCGCACAAAGCACACUGACUGACUGGGUUUUGCAACAAGCUGGACAGGUGUGCGUGUUUGAGUGGAGCCAGGAGAGGAUGAGAGGCAGACGCUUUUGAGAUUUUUGGACUGGAGCUCGAGGCGCACCCCUGCUGGAGAGAGAGAGAGAGAGAGAGAGAGAGAAAGAGAGGGCGGGCAAUCAGCAGUGGAAGCUGACACUGUUGAUGUGAACCACAGACAGAGAGAGAGAGAGAGAGAGCGAGACAGCGCCACUUCCCACCCUCAAGCUGUUUGUGUGCGUGUGUGUGUCGGCUGGCUCCGAGGGCACAGUGGCAGGGGCCGGUGCAUGG